AUGCUCACUUCGGCAGCACAUAUACUAAAAUUGGAAUGAUACAGAGAAGAUCAGCAUGGCCCCUGCACAAGGAUGACACACAAAUUCGUGAACCAUUCCAUAUUUUU
rnacentral:snRNA from 1 species